ACCUUUUAACAGCUGUAUUCUCCGUUACGUGAUAAUCUGCAAGAAACGGGUUGCUUAUAAAUCACUAAAAUAGUAGUGACAGCACCAUUUGCCUUAAUGCCAUUAGCAUAGUGGCUAAUACUAUUGUUACUUUGUUUAUGAUAAAUCGUUCGGAAUUGCUUUCUAACUUGAUGUCAUUGUGCUAACCGAGCACCGUUGGCCUUUACAACAGAGCCGCUUCACUAGGUACACUUUUA